rnacentral:lncRNA from 1 species
GGGAUUAGAUUAGGGUUUGCGAGGGCGAUCAGGUUCGGGAGUGGAGGGUCGCACACGGUCGCUCAUCUCGCUGGUAGGCCUCGCAAUCCCAGCAGUGGGCCACCUUCGAAUGGGCUACAGAAGGCCCAAUGCACCAGUGGCCUCCGUUUCGGCUCGUGGAGCAGCAGCCCACAGGACAGUUGGGCCAGUUUAAACACAUUACGGAAUAGAUCAAUC